rnacentral:lncRNA from 1 species
UGUCAUGAUAACAGCAUAGGGGAAACCAACCCUACUAUUCCAAUACCCCCACUUGGUGUUCCCCUUGACAUGUGGGGAUUAUGGAGAUUAUGGGCAUUACAAUUCAGGAUGAGAUUUGGGUGGGGAAACACACCCUAACCAUAUCAUCUUAACUAUGAAUUUUUUUUAUACUUCUCUUAAAAGUUUGGCAGUUUAGCUUUUAUAUUGCUCUAAUUAUCUAUUGCUGCAUAACAAAAUGUACCACAAUUUAGAAGCUUAAAACAACAACCAUGUUUAUUUGGCUCAUAAAUCUGCAUUUAAGCUGAGUUUGGUAAGCACUGCUUGUCUUUGUUCUACUCAAUGGCAGUUAGGGCACCUGGAAUGGCAGUUAGGGCAACUGGAAGGCUGGGAGCUGAAAUCACCUGAAGUCUCAUUCACUCACAUGUCUGAUGGUUGAUAUUGUCUAUCAGAUUCUUUUUUGUCUCCUUCUCUGCAAGAGGCUGGCACCAGAUCACCUCCUGAGUAGAGCAGACAUUCCAAAGGAUGUCCUGCCAACAAUAAUGGAAAGCUGGAUACAACUGAAUAUGUAAAAUGAUGUUAAUGAAGAAUUGAAGAGCACUGUAUCUAGUUUUCUGCUCUCCCCUGUAAGUAUUAACAUUUAUACUGCCACUUCACUUUGGAAUGUCAUAUUAAUUGUUCUCAGCACCUCAGUUUAAACUACCAACUCUUUUUUGGUAGUACCAGCUACCAGUAAUUCCACACACCAGGAUUAAAUGGCAAAAACCUAAGUAAUGAUGGUGAAAAUACUUCAAGAAAUGUAUAUAGUUUUUAAAAAUCGAAUUAUCUGUCACCUGAGUCAUUUAAUGUUUAUAAAUAGAAAGCCUUGAUUUUCAUGUGGCUCUGGAUAAUUGCAGAGCCAUUCUGGCGUCAAAACUAGGUCCAACAGAACUUUAGGGAAACAUGCCCCAGUGCUUAAUAAAUACUUGCAAGUAGAAGAUGCAAAACGGUCCACUGAACAAUCUCCAUCUAGGCCCUUUGCAUCUGGCCAAGAUGAAGUGAGCGGGGGUGCCUCAGUUUUAUAUCUAAAUGCCCAGCAUGUUCAGGUCAUCAGUCUGUCCAUGACAAUCUGGGAUUACGGUACAAAUUAGCAAGACCAGCAACUCAAACUAGGUCCAUUGUUGGUCAAGCCAUUAUGGCAUCUAUGCUGGUUCAUGUGUCUGGCCCAGGCAGCAUGAGUGUGAUAGACAGUGUGCCUAAACUAUUAAUAGUAAGUAUAUCCAGAUCAUCAGUCUCUUCACAAUGGGCACUGUUGAAGAGUUGGUCCAGAUGUUGGCCAUAUGUUUCAUCUUUCAUAUAUAUCCUUAAUUAUGGUCUAUGCUCUAGCUGGGAAUGCCUAAAGGUGGCUGUGGUUGAGUAGGAGGAGUGGGAUGGGGUUUUCACCAGCAUUUACCAAGAUUUGGGUCCUUUCUGCCUUCUGGCCUGGCCACUAGGCCUCUUAGAUGAGUUAACUCCAACCCCACUGGAUGGAGACUCUGUCACCUACCAUCCUCCACUUCUACCUCAUUGGUUCUACCACUGUCUCCUCCCAAGCCCCCUAAGAAAAAUACUUCAGCAAUAGUGCACAGGACUAGCCAUAGGAGAUACUUGGUCUCCUCGACACUGUCUAUGUGGCCUUAGAAAGGUCACUUUAGUUCUCUGGGCUUCACUUUCCUCCUCUUUAAAAUUAGAACAAUAAUAAUAUUUGCCUUGUAGGGCUCUUGUGAGGAUUUAACGAGCUCAUUCAUGCAGCAACUCUAAGUCACUAAUCAAUACAUUUGGUGGAUACUAGAGAUUUUACUGAUUAGAGAGAUCACAUGAAAACUUCUUGCAACCAAACACAGCACACCUAAGAUAUACCAUAUAUGCACAUA